GCUAGGAUUUAGCUCAGUGGUAGAGUGCUUGUCUAGCAUACAAGGCCCUGGGUUCCAUUUCCAGUUUGGCU
rnacentral:tRNA from 1 species